rnacentral:lncRNA from 1 species
CGGCCUUUGGCGGCGCCUGAUCUUUGUUCGGUGGUUGCAGAACUGAGAAAGCUAUGUGAAAUCACAAAUUAGUUGGCUACUUGAAGACGAGAAAAAAAAGCCUGCACAAAAACUGAUCAUCAGGGAAAGCAGCCAUCACAGAAGGAAAACGUAUUUAAGGUGGAUCGAAUUGUUCGUUUCGCAAGGAUAGUAAUUAAUCUGGAAGUGUUAGCAGAUCUCAUCGAUUUCUUGCUCCUUACUCAGCAGUGGUGGUGGUGGCGGCUGUAGACUGCUCUGGUAGAGCAACAGCUGCUGCUGCUGCAGUUUAGCUCUCUCAUAGGCCCAUCUGGUGAUCAGGGUGUUGCUGGGAGAGCAGCUAGCUGCAGGUUCAUCGUCUGUUCGACGACGGUGUGGGGAAUCGCAUGCUGAUGCUUCUAUUUUUAGGGGGAGAGCAGGGCGG